AACGGUGCAAUCCUUUUUAAGAGCCCAUAUCAACAAUUAGGGUUUAUGACUUCUAUAUUAGAUCAGAACACCCAAAUGGUGCAACUGCUAUUAAAGGUUUGUUUGUUCAACAAUUAAAGUCUUAUGUGAUCUGAUUUAGACCAAAAAAACCAGGUU
rnacentral:ncRNA from 1 species